rnacentral:misc_RNA from 1 species
AAGACUAUAGACCUGCGGAGUACCUGCGGAAGGAUCAUUACUGAGUUUCACAACUCUCUAACCCUGUGUGAACUGAAGUCUGGUUGCUCAGGCAGGCGGCCCCCGGGGGGAGCCGCAGCUUCUCUGAAGCGCCUGCCGGAGGAUACCUAAACUCGUUUUAACAUAUAAUCUUCUGAGUAAUAAAAAAAAAUGAAUCAAAACUUUCAACAACGGAUCUCU